GGCCGCAAACACAGACAGCCUAACUUUAAUGCAACACACGUUCUCUUCAGAUUUAAAAUAGUAUCAGUAUUUAUUGGUGUGUUGCUAUUAAUUAAUUACAAAACAAAAUGUGUCAAAUCAAAACAGAUUGUUUGCGCUCCCCUGACCUCGUACAUCGCUUAAAAAAACAACCAUCCAAAGCAGCUUCACAAACACAUUGAAAGGUCUUCGUGUCAUCAAGUGUUACCCUCCUACAGCUCACCUGCUGCUCUAAUGACAGAUUCAAAUACGACUUAUUCUUUAGGGACAGCGUGCUAAUAAAACAAACCAAUCAGACACAGAAAGAGGCGUGGCGAGCAGAUGUGUGUUUGUGUGCAGUACGAGAGCAGACGUGUUUACCUGUCUGUGUUUUAGUGCAAAGGUGUGUGUGUGUGUUAAGAGCAGACGUAGCAGACGUGCACAUAAAAAAAAAAGAGAGAGCAGGAAGUGUCUUAAUGCAGUCAGAGCAGAAAUGAGGUGCAUGUUUGUGUGCAAUAAGCGAGCUGGGGUGUUGUUUCAUAGUAAGAGAGCAGAGGUGUGUGUGUGUUUAUUGUAACAAAAUGAAGGCAUAGGUAAAGGUGUGUUUUUGUGCAAUUGGAGAGAAGAGGUGCAAACAAUCUGAACAGAA